GCCGAAGUAGCUCAGUUGGUAGAGCAACUGAUUUGUAAUCAGUAGGUCGGGGGUUCGACUCCCUUCUUCGGCU
rnacentral:tRNA from 8 species